ACCCUUUUUAAUCCACAAAUCAGUGGAUUGAAAACUAGGAAUUUAUAGAAAAAAGCUUACUGUAAAAUCCACAGCUCUCCCAGCACGCGAGUUCAAGGUUCUUAAAAACCUCCUCCCAAAAGUCGUCUGACACAAAACAUGGACCGUCUUUCCAACACAUUUUCUGUGCUGGACCUCGACGCUGAAGAUGAUCAGGUGGACGCUGUCCUGACCUCCUCGGUUUCUACUUCUACUUCUUCCUUCCGAGAUAAACCAGACUCUACCAAUAAAAAGGAACCGAGUAGGAAUAUUGUAAAUGGAUCACUCUCUAGUGUGCUGAUAGAAAAUGGGAAACAGAACGAACAAAAUCUAGUCACAUCUGCAGUGGAUUACAAGAUGCCUCUUGUUUGGAUUGACAUGGAAAUGACUGGUUUGAAUAUUGAAGUUGAUAGAAUACUGGAGAUUGCAUGUAUAAUUACAGAUGGCAAUUUGACUAAAUCAGUGGAGGGUCCCGAUUUGGUUAUCCAUCAGAGUAAAGAGUGCUUAGAGAAGAUGGGAGAAUGGUGUCAAAGUCAUCAUGCAGCUAGUGGUUUGACAGAGAAAGUGCUCCAAAGUUCAGUGAGUGAAGGAGAGGCUGAAAAGCAGGUGAUAGAAUUUGUUAGGAGACAUGUCGGUACAUACACACCUCUUUUGGCAGGCAAUUCAGUGUAUGUGGAUUUUCUGUUUUUAAAGAAAUAUAUGCCAGAUUUGGCCAGUCUCUUCUCUCAUGUUAUUGUUGAUGUUAGCAGUGUUAAGGCUUUGUGCAUUCGCUGGUAUCCCAGAGUGACAGUGCUGGUGUAGCGUGGUCUGCUCCGAUGGCAGAAGUAGAGUCUUUGGAAGAUGGCAAGGCACGGACUGUGGAUUUCCGAUUGAGUUGCAGUAUGAGUUGGAAUUUUACCUGAUCAGAACUUCAAUUCCGGUGAACGUUUAGCGACUGGACUUGCUUUGCUGGAAAUGCCUUGGGCAAGCAGUUGUUUGACUGUGCAGUUGCAGUUGUCUGGCGAAGGGAGAGAUGGUGGGCAUUGAGGAAAAUAGCAGGGUCUUGAGAAGCUCUAUUCUGCAAAACGGUUUCACAAAUUUUUUUUUCCCAAACAGCAAAGGAAAUUUUGACUGAAUCUAAACUCAGAUCAGAAGAAAGCCCCUUCAAAGGAAAACAAACAUAGAGCCAUGGAUGAUAUUAGAGAGAGCAUUAGAGAGCUGAAAUACUACAAGGAGAAUAUAUUCAAGGCAAAGUCGAAGAAGUGAUCAGACUAGCUUUAGUUUGUACGUAACUCUGUAGGGAUAUAUCAUCUAUAUAGCAAUUGCCACCCUGUCGCUAGCUUUUGUGAAGAUGGGUUCAUUUCUUGGUCAAGGGAAGAUAUGAUUUUGGUUGAAAUAUUCUCUUUUAAUUAUUAACAGCGUCAAAUUUAAAUUAGAUGUCUGAUAUUUAGUUCCAAACAA